rnacentral:rRNA from 1 species
UAGGGAAUCUUCGGCAAUGGACGAAAGUCUGACCGAGCAACGCCGCGUGAGUGAAGAAGGUUUUCGGAUCGUAAAACUCUGUUGUUAGAGAAGAACAAGGACGUUAGUAACUGAACGUCCCCUGACGGUAUCUAACCAGAAAGCCACGGCUAACUACGUGCCAGCAGCCGCGGUAAUACGUAGGUGGCAAGCGUUGUCCGGAUUUAUUAGGCGUAAAGCGAGCGCAGGCGGUUUCUUAAGUCUGAUGUGAAAGCCCCCGGCUCAACCGGGGAGGGUCAUUGGAAACUGGGAGACUUGAGUGCAGAAGAGGAGAGUGGAAUUCCAUGUGUAGCGGUGAAAUGCGUAGAUAUAUGGAGGAACACCAGUGGCGAAGGCGGCUCUCUGGUCUGUAACUGACGCUGAGGCUCGAAAGCGUGGGGAGCAAACAGG